rnacentral:ncRNA from 1 species
UUUCUUCUAAAUUUUAUUUUCAGAUAUCAUUUACGUAUCAGUCUUUGGAGAGAGUAUUAGUUGGCAGACACACAGUGGGUGCUAACGUCCAUUGUGGAGAGGGCAACAACCCUGACCUCCAUUUAAGGUCCCGAAGUCAUGGCUAAGUUGGAAAGGAUGUGGAAAUCCCAAAACAACCAGGAUGUUGGCUUAGAAGCAGCCAUCAUUUAAAGAAAGCGUAACAGCUCACUGGUCUAGGUAAGGAUUUUUGCGCCGAAAAUGUAACGGGGCUAAAGCCAUGCACCGAAGAUGAGGAUUUGUUUUACUUUAUAAGUUUGCAAGUGGUAGCGGAGCGUUCCGUAAGCUGAUGAAGGAGGACUUGUGAGAGCCUCUGGAGGUAUCGGAAGUG